CCUACGGGGGGCUGCAGUGAGGAAUAUUGGUCAAUGGACGAGAGACUGAACCAGCCAAGUAGCGUGAGGGAUGACUGCCCUGUGUGUUGUAAACUUCUUUUAUAAAGGAAUAAAACCAGGCACGUGUGCCUUUUUGCGUGUACUUUAUGAAUAAGGAUCGGCUAACUCCGUGCCAGCAGCCGCGGUAAUACGGAGGAGGCAAGCGUUAUCCGGAAUGACUGGGCGUAAAGGGUGCGUAGGUGGUUUGACAAGUUAGUAGCGCAACGCCGGGGCUCAACUUCGGACCGACUAUUAAAACUGUUGGACUUGAGUGGAGGAGGGGCAAGCGGAAUUCCCAGUGUAGCGGUGGAAUGCGUAGAUAUCAGGAGGAACACCAGUGGCGAAGGCGGAAUGCUAGA
rnacentral:rRNA from 1 species